UGUUCAAUCUUCCAAUUAAUCCAGGGGAGCCCUCUGCAACUUCAUCACAGGUUCAUGGUUCUCAAUGUUCAAAACCGCUGUCAAGAUUCAGAAUGCAAAGGAAAUAGGUACCGCUGCAGCUUCUUUGAGUCAGUUGCAUCUCAAGCAGCAUCAUGGACAACAGAGUUUCAAGCAAAGUGCUCGAGGAUGUAGAGCAUGCAAUGUUUUGGACUAACACACUAGUGAUUCAUCACUUUCACUGAUGCUUCUUUGCUGAUCAGUCUUUGGCUGGUCAUUGAAAAAAUGCAGUUUGACAUG